rnacentral:lncRNA from 1 species
GUGAGUGUGCAAGAGGGUGAGUGUGCAAGGGGAGGUGAGCGUGGAAGACGAGCGUGUAAGGAUGAGUGUGCACGAGCACUAGGAACAAAGGGGUGAAUGUGGAGACUGGGAGGUGUAUUCAGGGGUCUGCAGCUCCUGUUGUCCGCUACCUCGCACACUGGGGUCCCGGGGGUGGGUGUGCAAAUGGGUGUGCAAGGAUGAGCGUGCAAAGACAGGGUUAGAACGAGGUGAGGCGUGGGGUGAGGUGAUUGUGAGGUGAGGUGACUGUGGGGUUGGAGGCACGCGUCCGUGUGCUCACAAAUCCCUUGCACGUUAGGGUUGUACAAAUGGGCGUGCAAAGAGAGGUGAGUGUGCAAGGUGAGUGUGCAAGGGCAGGAUUAGAGGGGGAAAAGGAGUGGCUAUAGGGAAGGGGUGACUGUGGAGAUGGAGACACGCAUCCGUGGGUUCGCAAAUCCCUUGCACGGUAGAGUUGUACGUGUGGGCGUGCAAGGAGAUGUGAGCGUGCAAGGCGAGUGUGCAAGAGAAGGAUUAGAAGGGGAAAAGGAGUGGCUAUGGGGAAUGGGUGACUGCGGGUUUGGAGAUGCGCGUGGAGGGACCUCCAGCUCCCUUGUGCAUUAAGGUUGCACGGAUGGGUGUGCAAGUAGAGGUGAGCAUGCAAGAUCAGUGUGUAAACGUGAGCGUGCAAGGUAGAAACAGAUGCUUAUGGGGAAGGGGGCUCUCACCCAGGGGCGUGCAACUCACUGGGGAUGUCUCCUUGCCACCCUGGGGGGCCGCAAGCGUGUGCAAAGAUUACACAGAUGCGUGUGCAAGGAAGUGAGCGUGCAAGGGCAGGAGAGCGUGGGAGACAAGUACGCAAGGAUGCGUGUGCAAGGGGGGAGGAUUGUGAGUAUGGGGCUGGGGACUGGGAUACGUCUUCAGAAACCUGCAGCUCCUGUUGGCUGCUCCAUUGCACGUUGGGUUGUGUGGAUGCGUGUGCAAAGGGGUGUGCAAGGAUGUGUGUGCAAGGGCAGGAUUGGAAGGGGAAAGGAGUGGCUAUGGGGAAGGGUUCACUGUGGGGGUGGAGCCACGUGUCCAGUAACCUGCAGCUGCCUCGCACGUUGAGGGCGCAUGGAUGGGUGUGCAAGGUGAGUGUGCAAGGACAGGGUUGGAAGGGGAAAAGGAGUGGAAGUGGGGAAGGGGUGAUCAUGAGGACGGAGACAUGUGUCCAGGGGCGUGCAAAUCCGUUGCAUGUUAGAGUUGCAUGUAUGGGUGUGCAAGGAGAGGUGAAUGUGUGAGGAGAGGUGAGCGUGAAAGAUGAGUGUGCAAAGGUGAGUGUGCAAAGGCAAGAGUAGAAGGGGAAAACGAGGGAGCAUGGGGACGAGGACACAGGCCAAGGAGCCUGCAGCUCCCUUGCACGUUAGGCUUGUGUGGACGGGUGUGUAAAGAGAGAUGAGUGUGCAAGACGAGCAAGAGCAAGUGUGCAAGGCGGAAGGAGCCGAUGAUGUGGAGGGGGGACCCCCAUCCAGGGGCGUGCAGCUCCCCUUUGCACACCAGGGGAAGGCGGGUGGCGGGGGUUUGGGGCCUGGGGGGAGGGAAGGGAAGCGAGCGUGCAAGACGAGCGUGCAAGAUGA